GGUUGAUAAGUUUGAAGUGAAAUCCUAUAGCUUAACUAUAGAACUGCUUUGAAAACUGUUAACCUAGAAUAUGGGAGAGGUAGAUGGAAUUUCUGGUGUAGGGGUAAAAUCCGUAGAGAUCAGAAGGAAUACCGAUUGCGAAGGCGAUCUACUGGAACAUUAUUGACGCUGAGACGCGAAAGCGUGGGUAGCAAACAGGAUUAGAUACCCUGGUAGUCCACGCCCUAAACGAUGUACACUAGUUGUUGUGAGGCUCGACCUUGCAGUAAUGCAGUUAACACAUUAAGUGUACCGCCUGGGGAGUACGGUCGCAAGAUUAAAACUCAAAGGAAUAGACGGGGACCCGCACAAGCGGUGGAGCAUGUGGUUUAAUUCGACGAUACACGAAGAACCUUACCUGGACUUGACAUAGUAAGAACUUUCUAGAGAUAGAUUGGUGUCUGCUUGCAGAAACUUAUAUACAGGUGCUGCACGGCUGUCGUCAGCUCGUGUCGUGAGAUGUUGGGUUAAGUCCCGCAACGAGCGCAACCCUCGUCAUUAGUUGCUAACAGUUCGGCUGAGAACUCUAAUGAGACUGCCUACGCAAGUAGGAGGAAGGUGAGGACGACGUCAAGUCAUCAUGGCCCUUACGUCCAGGGCUACACACGUGCUACAAUGGGGUAUACAAAGAGCCGCAAUACGGUGACGUGGAGCAAAUCUCAAAAAUAUCUCCCAGUUCGGAUUGUAGUCUGCAACUCGACUACAUGAAGUUGGAAUCGCUAGUAAU
rnacentral:rRNA from 1 species